rnacentral:lncRNA from 1 species
UGAGUAAUAUAUAAAUGACAUUCCCCAGUCAUUACUGCAAUUGUUUGCAUCCUCUUAGUUCCUUUGUCAUCCUCUAACAACACAAUAUCACAAGCAUUCAUUUCAUCGUAAUACCAAAGUUUAUCUACAGUUGGAAAUGUGUGUUACUUCGCAUCCAUCUCAAGACAGGAAAUCCAUUACACUUACUUGUGACCAUAAUGCUACUAUCAUAUACUUCUCUUAAUACCAAGGUAUAAC